GGGCGGUAGCGAAGUGGUUGAGCGUCUCUGAGCGUAUUCAGCGUCGUGUUUCUUCCAGCGUUCAGCGAAGACCCGGGUUCGAAUCCCGGCCUGCCCA